rnacentral:rRNA from 1 species
CGCUGGCGGCGUGCCUAACACAUGCAAGUCGAACGAGGUCCAAGGAAGCUUGCUUCCUGAAGACCUAGUGGCGAACGGGUGAGUAACACGUGAGAAACCUGCCUCGGAGUGGGGAAUAACUCGGGGAAACUCGAGCUAAUACCGCAUACCUUCACAUGAUCGCAUGGUCGAGUGAAGAAAGAAUUUCGCUCUGAGAGGGUCUCGCGGCCUAUCAGCUUGUUGGUGGGUAACGGCCUACCAAGGCAACGACGGGUAGCUGGUUUGAGAGAACGAUCAGCCACACUGGGACUGAGACACGGCCCAGACUCCUACGGGAGGCAGCAGUGGGGAAUCUUGCGCAAUGGGCGAAAGCCUGACGCAGCAACGCCGCGUGCGGGAUGACGGCCUUCGUGGUUGUAAACCGCUUUCAGCAGGGACGAAAAUGACGGUACCUGCAGAAGAAGCCCCGGCUAACUACGUG